GUACUUGCUUCAGCAGUACAUAUACUAAAAUUGGAACGAUACAGAGAAGAUUAGCAUGAUCUCUGCGCAAGGAUGAUACGCAUGGGUUAGGUUUGGGUUAGGUUGUA